GCCCUGGUACUCCAACUGGCAGAGAGCGCGGUCUCAAACACCGUUCAGUGUGGGUUCGAAUCCCACUCAGGGCACCA
rnacentral:tRNA from 2 species